rnacentral:rRNA from 1 species
AUUGAACGCUGGCGGCAGGCCUAACACAUGCAAGUCGAACGAGUGGCGGACUGGUGAGUAGUGUCUGGGAAACUGCCUGAUGGAGGGGGAUAACUACUGGAACCGGUAGCUAAUACGGCAUACCAUCAGAUGUGCCCAGAUGGGAUUAGCUAGUGGGUGGGGUAACGGCUCACCAAGGCGACGAUCCCUAGCUGGUCUGAGAGGAUGACCCGCCACACUGGGACUGAGACACGGUCCAGACUCCUACGGGAGGCAGCAGUUGUGAAUAUUGCACAAUGGGCGCAAGCCUGAUUCAGCCAUGCCGCGUGUAUGAAGAAGGCCUUCGGGUUGUAAAGUACUUUCAGCGGGGAGGCGUUACCCGCAGAAGAAGCACCGGCUAACUACGUGCCAGCAGCCGCGGUAAUUC